rnacentral:tRNA from 1 species
AUUUUCUUAGUACAAACAAUACAUGUGACUUCCAAUCACCUAAUCUUGGUUUAAUCCUAGAGAAAAUA